rnacentral:rRNA from 1 species
GACGAACGCUGGCGGCGUGCUUAACACAUGCAAGUCGAACGAAGUGGCGAACGGGUGAGUAAUACGUGGGUAACCUGCCCUCAUUUUUGGGAUAAGCCUUGGAAACGGGGUCUAAUACCGAAUAAAGGGGGAUGGGCUCGCGGCCUAUCAGGUAGUUGGUGGGUUGAUGGCCUACCAAGGCGGUGACGGGUAGCUGGCCUGAGAGGGAGACCGGGAACAGUGGGACGGAGAAACGGCCCAGACGACGACGCGGGGCAGAAGUUGCGGAAAUUGCAGAAUGGGCGAAGGACUGAUGCAGCGACGCCGCGUGGGGGAUUAAGACUUUCAGGUUGUGAACCUCGUUCGGUACCGAUCGGGUACGUGGAGAGGAAGCGCCGGCUAACUACGUGCCAGCAGCCGCGGUAAUAC